AUCGCUUCUCGACCUUUUGGCUAAGAUCAAGUGUAGUAUCUGUUCUUAUCAGUUUACUAUCUGAUACGUCUCCUAGCUGGACACCAUAUAUUAAAUUGCUUUUCGAAACAGAGAGAAGGAGUAAGGGCUUGCUUCGUCUACUCCAUGUAUUGAGCUAGUAUUGCAUUGCUUCUGGGAACGGUGCACCCCAC
ensembl:snRNA U2 U2 spliceosomal RNA